rnacentral:rRNA from 1 species
GGAUUAGAUACCCUGGUAGUCCACGCCCUAAACGAUGGAUACUAAGUAGAGGCCGCCCAAGGUGGUCUUUGCCGGAGCGAAAGCGUUAAGUAUCCCGCCUGGGGAGUAUGGUCGCAAGGCUGAAACUCAAAGGAAUUGACGGGGGCUCACACAAGCGGUGGAGCAUGUUGCUUAAUUCGAUGCAACGCGAAGAACCUUACCUGGGCUUGAACUGCAGGGUUCAGUAUGUGAAAGCAUAUGGCUCUUCGGAGCGACCUGUAGAGGUGUUGCAUGGCUGUCGUCAGCUCGUGCCG